GUUGGUGGCUGGUUUUAGUUGGGUAGGUUGGUUGGGAAAGGCAGUUGGAAAAGCAGUUGGCAGGCAGUUGGAAAUAGAGAGACAGUUAGUGCAGUGGGUUCUUGUGUGAGGGGAGGUAGAAGAGAUAGAGACAGGAUAAAACAAUACUAAGAAGGUAAAGAGUAACUACGUUUGGAAUGCAGUUAAAGUUUGUUUGUGUCUGAAAUAAACUACACUCUUCUUUGUUAAUUUGAGAACAUAACUGAGACUAAGUGAUUUACCAGGGAGGACCUGGUUGGUGGCAGCAGAUUAGUGGUGUACGGGUCAAUAGUCCGUGAGACGACCGGGAGCUCCAUAUGAACGCUACAGCCACUGUAUUAGAGUAUUAAAGCCUAGUGCCUCCUUCCCAAAGCUCAGGAAGCUUCUGCACGACUUAGGGAGGGAGGCAUGACGAUUUGACAGGGUGCAAGAGCCCUCCUGCCACCUUCCCAAAGCCUACCCUCAGUUAUCUGUGGCAAGUGCAGGUUAAAGCACAUAAGGCCUUUAAGAACCAUAUUGUCAGGAAACCAUUGUUUAAUGUCUGGGUGAGAUAUAAGGAUUUGUUGGAAAGUAAAACACCAAGGUGGCUGUCACCAAUGGAGGCUAAGGCUCUGAAAAAAACUAAUAUGGAGAUAAAUUGGCCAAAAUACUGUGAAAUUUUAGAACAAGAUGGAGAUAGAUUAAAGCUGCAGAGCUUUGACAAAUUAAAAACUAAAGUUCGAGACUGGCUUCAUUAUUAUCAAAUAAGGGAGGCUUAUAAUUUAGAUAAGAAGAUUGGUUUCCAGGAGGAAAAAUCAAAAUUGGAAACAGAAUUGUUAGAUCCCAAAACUAAGAAUCUGUCAAGAAUGUAUAAUUUGCUGUUGAAAUGGAAUACGCAGGAUGAAACGGUUAAAUCUGUUAUGAUUAAAUGGGCACAAGAUUUUGGACAUAACAUUAUGUUUGCUGACUGGGAACAGUUAUGGACCACAGGUAUGAAAUUUACGGCUUGUGAUGCCUUAAGAGAAAAUAUAAUGAAAAUGAUUUACAGGUGGUACUUAACCCCAGUCAAGCUAGCAAAAAUCUAUCAUUUGCCAGAUAGUAAAUGUUGGAAAUGUAAAGAGACUGAGGGCACAUUUUUUCACCUUUGGUGGACAUGCCCAAAGAUUAAGGCUUUCUGGGAAAUGAUAUAUAAUGAACUGAAAAAGGUAUUUAAAUAUACCUUUCUGAAGAAACCAGAGGCCUUUCUUCUGGGCAUGGUCGGCCAAUUGGUGCGAAGGGAGGAUAGAACUUUCUAUAUGUAUGCUACAACAGCAGCAAGAAUACUCAUCGGGAAGUACUGGAAGACACAAGAAUUGCCCACCCGAGAAGAAUAGCAGAUGAAAGUGAUGGACUACAUGGAACUGGCUGAGAUGACCGGCAGAAUUCGAGACCAGGGAGAAGGGUCGAUGGAAGAAGAUUGGAAAAAAUUCAAAAUAUAUCUUCAAAAGUACUGCAAUAUAAAAGAAUGUUAGAAAGAGGUUGGAAAAAGAAUAUUAGGUCGUUCUGGUAGAUAUGAUAUAAUGGACUAAGCAAAAAUGAGUUGAUGAAAUUGAUGAAUUAGAGGAGGUUUAAUCACAUUACUUUAAUUUUAAAAUACGUAAAUGAAAAUAAGGUUAGAAGGAUUUGCUGGAAACACGAUCUGAACUAGAAUACAAAACUGGGAGGUGAGAGGAGGUCAUGGAAAUAAGUAAAGGGAAAAGGCUAUGUAAAGGUUUAAUCUGUUUUUGUUUUAUUUUAACUCAAUGUAUCUUUAUAUUUUUUGUUAAGUCUUCUUUUUUAUUGUAUCUUAUUGUUCUUUUUUACUUGUUUAUUUCUUGCUUUGUUAUGGUUAAAGAUUUCUUUGUAUUUUGUAUGGUUUUUCUUUUUCUUUUUUGUAACUUUAAAUCUGGAAUAAAUAUUAUUUUUUUAAAAAAAAAUAUCUGUGGCAAGUGCAUGUUUCUGUUAUACAUAGUGUCAUAUUCCUCAACCCAGGUACUUGCAGUGUGUGGCAGAGAACUCUUAUUGGGACAAAGCUCGGGCUGCUUCCUUGGGGUGGAGGCAGGGAUGAGAUGAUCAGUAUCAUGUCCUGAGUAUUCAUGCAGAUAUAAUUUAUUAGUAUACUAAUAUGACUAAUUGACCAAGAUUUCUUUUCUCAGCUGACGUAUUUUGGGAGCUUAGCGGAGGAUUUAAAAUCCUAAUUGCACUGGCUAUUCAUAGGCUCCGAUUACACUGGUACUUGCAGAUGCUUCCUUGUUGUCCUUGUAUGGGGAGGAAAAGGCUCCGCCUACACAAGUAACUGAUUGGUAGAAGAGAGAACGGAGUUCCAUAUGCAGGGGUUUGGCCAUAUUUGGAAAUGAAAGUCAGAGAUGUAGCCAUUGCUGAGUACAAAAAUAUGGCUAUGAUUCAAACUGCCUCUUCAGAGAUGUGAGCUUGGCCAGGCUUCAAAAGGAACUUCACUGGUGAGGUGGAUUAUUUAAAAGAAAGAACAUUGAGUGGUGGGAAGAAAAUGCUUCUUGCAAUCUCUGGCUAUGUGGAACAAUCUCAUUUCAUAGAAUUCAUAGAAUUGUAGAGUUUGAAGGGACCCCAAGGGUUAUCUAGUCAUAACAGGAUGAGGAACAUCAGACCUAGAGGUGCCAUAUGACCCUCUAGGCAUCUAACUCUGGUCCUCAAUACUCUAACUCUCUCACUUCUUCACAUCCCUACUGAUUUUGCUAUUUAAAACUAGGCUAAGUUAAAAUUUGCAUUCAUUGAUCCACCCAUUUUUCUCUCUGACUUCACCCACCAGAAGGGAAUAUGAUCCUCAGGCUGAAAAACAAGUUUCCUACUCCUACGUUAUUGUCUCACUUGAGAAAUUACUAGAUAAUAUUGUAAAGCACUUUGGAUUUUUUUAAUGAUAUAGCAGUAUGUAAAUAUCUUUAUGAAUGAAUGAAUGAAUGAAUGAAUGAAUUGGCAUUGAGAGAUUAUGUUCUGGCCCAGAUUUCACCCUGUCACCAUGUGAAUGAUUUUGGGGAGUUUGUAAGAGCACUGAUGGAAUCAAAAUCUGAAUAAACUUGGAAGGCGUCACCAAUGUUCUGACAUCUCCACUCAGGGUGUUUCAUCGUCUCAUUCAGCUGCCUUGAUCUGUGGGAUCCCAGAGGUUUAAACAGGUGAUCCCAUGUGUUGCAAUAACACACAACCCAGCCGAGAAAAGGUGGUUGGUGGGAAGCAAUGGUGUUGCAUUUCAACAAGUCUUUCCAAAGCCAUUCUAGGAAGUGUGGAUGGUAAGAAAUGGCAGAGAGGAACCUGCACUGAAGGACCUUUGCUCUAAAAUACAAAUAAAAUGAGCAAUAAACACUUGGCCUUUUUGAAGGGUUAAGGUGAGCAACAGAUACUACCUCCAUACCAGCACCACAGUGCCAAUUGAUUUGGUCCUUUCUAGGAUUCUACCGACGCGUUUGAUGCAAUGCAAUAUCCCCCUGCCAAAGAUGAUUUGCAACCACAAGGAGCAGUGAUUAAGUGCUUCCUUUUUGGCAGUGAGGGGACAUUUAGUCCUCCAGAUUUCCCAACUUAAUCCCUCCCAUUGUUAAUUAUUCAUUCCACCUCUUCCUUUUGCUGUUGAGAAGGCAAGGCUGACAUUUUGGAGGUAAAGUGGAUAUGCAAUUUACUGCUUGCUGCAGCCCUUGCUCUGAUUUUUCUUCAUCUUGACUUUUUUUUUUAACAUGGAGAGCUUUAGGUUUGGUAGCAAUGAUAUAUGGCUCUGAUCCCCAACUUUGGCUCCUCGCUCCAUAUCUGUGUGGAAGACGCACUUCCCAUUUUCUGCCCUUUUCUCCAGCCCCCUUCUAAGAGAAGAUGCAGCCAUUAAGCUGUCAUUUUUUAUUGUUUUGCUGCAGCAGUGAUUGUGUUUUACAGCACUUCUCCAUUGUUUUCAGCUUUGUAUCUUGAUAGCAGGUGCUCCUCCCUACUUCAUGAGCUCCUUGUUAUGAACCAGAAUAGCAGCACAUUAAUAUUGAUAAAAUCUCUGGGGAAAACCAAAGGAAAUGGCAUGUUUAUCUUCAAUGGG